GUUCUCAUGCACGUGACCGGCAAGUGGAGCAACAAAAAUACCACAAAGACAAAAGAUCUGGGAUACUGUUCUGCUGCUGAUCACGAGGACACCAGAGAGUCGCUGACGCGGCACUGCUGUCCUUCCCUGAUGUGAUCUGCCUGGGGCUCAUGCUCUGGGGCAGCAGCUCCAUCGUUUGCAUCCUGCACAGGCACAAGCGGCGGGUCCAGCACAUUCAUAGGACCAGCGUCUCCCCCACAUCCUCCCCUGAGUCCGGAGCUACCAAAACCAUCCUCCUGGUUCUAGCAUGUAUUAACACCGUGUGUCUAAAGUCAUCCCUGCUGGUCAUCUGGAGGAAUCUGAGAAGGGGCAGGUCUUUCUUCUGACUCUCAGAGCAGCACCCUCUGCUGGACAGGGCUGGGCACCUCAUCUCAAGCCCAAUCUGAUCCACCAACAGGGUCUGUUAUCUCCGGUCCGGGGAAGAGUCAAGCUGCACUAAUCUAGACCAGGGAUCCCCACCCCUGGGCUGCGGACCGGUCCCCAUGGGUGGCCUGUUAGGAACUGGACCGCAC
rnacentral:lncRNA from 1 species